rnacentral:rRNA from 1 species
GACGAACGCUGGCGGCGUGCUUAACACAUGCAAGUCGAACGGAAAGGCCCUGCUUUUGUGGGGUGCUCGAGUGGCGAACGGGUGAGUAACACGUGAGUAACCUGCCCUUGACUUUGGGAUAACUUCAGGAAACUGGGGCUACUACCGGAUAGGAGCUCCUGCUGCAUGGUGGGGGUUGGAACGUUUCGGCGGUUGGGGAUGGACUCGCGGUUUAUCAGCUUGUUGGUGGGGUAGUGGCUUACCAAGGCUUUGACGGGUAGCCGGCAUGAGAGGGUGACCGGCCACAAUGGGACUGAGGUACGGCCCAGACUCCUACGUUGGGCAGCAGUGGAGAAUAUUAGACAAUGAGCGGAAGCCUAAUGCAGCAACGCCGCGUGCGGGAUGACGGCCUUCGGGUUGUAAACCGCUUUCGCCUGUGACGAGGCGUGAGUGACGGUAAUGGGUAAAGAAGCACCGGCUAACUACGUG